AGUGAACGCUGGCGGUAGGCCUAACACAUGCAAGUCGAACGGCAGCACAGUAAGAGCUUGCUCUUACGGGUGGCGAGUGGCGGACGGGUGAGGAAUACAUCGGAAUCUACUUUUUCGUGGGGGAUAACGUGGGGAAACUUACGCUAAUACCGCAUACGACCUACGGGUGACAGCAGGGGAUCUUCGGACCUUGCGCGAUUGAAUGAGCCGAUGUCGGAUUAGCUAGUUGGCGGGGUAAAGGCCCACCAAGGCGACGCUCCGUAGCUGGUCUGAGAGGAUGAUCAGCCACACUGGAACUGAGACACGGUCCAGACUCCUACGCGAGGCAGCAGUGGGGAAUAUUGGACAAUGGGCGCAAGCCGGAUCCAGCCAUACCGCGUGGGUGAAGAAGGCCUUCGGGUUGGAAAGCCCUUUUGUUGGGAAAGAAAAGCAGCAGGUUAAUACCCCGCUGUUCUGACGGUACCAAAAGAAUAAGCACCGGCUAACUUCGUG
rnacentral:rRNA from 1 species